GAACAUCCCGUUUGGGCCUUAGGCCUGAAAACGAGUCCAGAUCCCCAAGGAUCUAUCAAUUGAUGCCAAAAGGGCAACAACAUCUCAUGAGUAAAACGCGAGCUACGCUGACGGCGCCUACGCGAACGGGACCUGAGCAAUGGCACGAUCCUUCCUCAAUCACCCUCACGUCCUUCAUGAUCUACGUGUUUGAAAACACCGAUUAACACCAUGGAUUCGUGUUUAGGCGGGCGGCUCGCGUUUGUAUCUUCUUUAAGUGUCGUAUUUGGAAUCAACGUGUUUCCAAUGACCUCACCACGAAGCGACGACGGAUGACUGCGGAGGACUCAAGAUCAAAACUUGAGUUCAACCUUCGACGGCGAACACCAAUCGUAAUAAGACGAACCAACCGCGAAAGAACAAACGCGACAACUCGAACGAACGUGAAGCUGAGAUGAAGGUGGAAAGAAAAUAAUGCGUACUCAUCGGAUAGAGACCAGUGUAUCGUGAGCGUCUUCCGAAUUGAUGAAUGAAGAGUGAGCUCGCGUGUGAAGGAAUUAAAGAGGGAGAGUGUUUGUGUGCGAGGUAACUCGGUUAUGGAGGUCGUUGUGGGGGAGAUUUGGAAGGUGGGGGGAGGAAUGGAAGGUGGAGUUUUGUGUGUGAGAGUCCAAUUUUUGUUAGAGAAUUGGUGAGGUUGAAGGUGAUGGAAAUGUAAAUAAGCGAGAGAGCCAUCUGAACUAUGAAGGUAUGCCUUUUUAUAGAUUUCCAAAUCUCCCUCUCUACUUCUUUUUCUGUUACUAAAGUUUCUUAUCGAUUUGCAACUGAAUCGGUUACAAUUAGUUAAUUGGAAAAAUCAUGAACUGUUAGGUUGAAUUCCAUUCACUUGGACUCUGUUAGAACUUGUUAGCGAAAAAAUUUCUGUUAGAUCACUCUUUGAUUUCUGCUAGAACUUAGAAGUUAGUUUUAAUAUAAAAGGAAUUUGUUUGCAAGAUUUUCAUUUCUCUUGUAUGCAGGAUUUUCAUUUCUAUUUUAUGCAGAUCUUUAUGUCGGCGUCGCCGUGGUUGUUGGUUUUGUGGAUUCUUUUCCGUUAUUGAUUUUGUGAGGUUGGUUUUUAAUUAUGCAGGUUUUUAUGCUAUGCCAGUUAUUUUUGAUUUGUGCGGGAACUUUCAUUCGGAUUUCAUGUUGCAGCUUUGACAGUUUAUAGCUUAUUUUUCAUGGAUAGGCUUUGCUCACUUUGCUUUCGGUGCCGACGGGGUUAUCAUUGCUGCUGUGGAGCUUUUCUCACGUCUUCUUUUUUUCAAUUGCAUUUCUUGGCAUGCUGCUGCCUUUGGCUUGGACGCUAACGGCUACUACAUUUCCAUUUGUAGCUUUUGUACUAGCAUGGCGCUUGGUGGAAGUUGCAGCUUGGCUUACGGCGCCGGCUGCAGUUUAUUUGCAGUUGCAUUUGGAUUGGCUUUCAUGGCUCGUUCGCGUUUUGGAUUUGGCAGCAGGUGGUGUUUCGCUUGACGUUUUAAUGGGUUGCAACCUGUUGAUGGCUUAUGCUGCAUUUUGGCUUGUAGGCGUAAUUUCUGUUGGUUUUGGUUGCUCGCUACGCGUGGUUUAUGCAGCAUUCUGCAACAAUUUUUGGUAGCUGUUUUGUUUUGGCUGCUGGCGUUUUGCCGUUCUGCAACUUGUUGAUGUAUGUUUUGGCGUAGCAACUUAUGUAACGCGCUUUUGGAAGUAUACUAAUGAAUGUACAUUGUUAUUUGGAUGAUGGUUAAUUUAACAAUGGGUUUAAAAUGAA